CAGUAGCCACGGGAAUACGUAGGUGGCAAGCGUUGUCCGGAAUUAUUGGGCGUAAAGGGCUCGCAGGCGGUUUCUUAAGUCUGAUGUGAAAGCCCCCGGCUCAACCGGGGAGGGUCAUUGGAAACUGGGAAACUUGAGUGCAGAAGAGGAGAGUGGAAUUCCACGUGUAGCGGUGAAAUGCGUAGAGAUGUGGAGGAACACCAGUGGCGAAGGCGACUCUCUAGUCUGUAACUGACGCUGAGGAGCGAAAGCGUGGAGAGCGAACAGGAUUAGAUACCCCGGUAGUUCCUGUCUCUUAUAC
rnacentral:rRNA from 1 species